CAAUAGCGUAUAUUAAAGUUGUUGCAGUUAAAAAGCUCGUAGUUGAACUUCUGUGUAUGCCCAGUUCUGGCUUCGGUCAAGCUGUUUUGGUGUGCAUAUCCGCUUGCAAACCUAGUCCGGCCUUCACUGGUCGACUAGGGGAGUAGGCUUUUUACUUUGAAAAAAUUAGAGUGUUUCAAGCAGGCAAUGGCUCGAAUACAUUAGCAUGGAAUAAUGGAAUAGGACUUUUGUCCAUUUGGUUGGUUAUUGGACUUAAGUAAUGAUUAACAGGGACAGUUGGGGGCAUUAGUAUUUAAUUGUCAGAGGUGAAAUUCUUGGAUUUAUUAAAGACUAACUUAUGCGAAAGCAUUUGCCAAGGAUGUUUUCAUUGA
rnacentral:rRNA from 1 species